GGGCAACGUGGUAGUCAACAUUCCAAGUCUACACAAAGAUUAAAUAAAAACAGGCUUUAAGGAAAUGUUAACCUGUAACUUCUACCCUACAAUAGAAUGGUUUCCUGUCACCUUUUUCUCCUGACUGAUGGCUCUAUAAGUGUGAAGAAAAUGACAGAAAAUGAGAGACUGUGGUUCAGGACAUAUGGCAGCCUUCUCUCUUAGUGUAUCGUCCACAUGGAGGUUGGGUUAGCAUUGGCUUUAUUUCCUUCUCAGUCAUCCAUAACCAAUCCUUAGAAAUCACAUGGGGGCAUAUGGCUUUGUAAAUAAUUUGCUAUGUGGAUGUUCACUGCCAACAGGACUUCAGCUUCUAAUUUUUUUUUCCAGGUUGAGAAAUACACGUAAAUGUACUUUGGAACAGUUCAGCCUACUCUUGAUCUAAUUGUGCUGCUCAUUAUAUUUGCAAGAGAAUCUUAUCUGGG
rnacentral:lncRNA from 1 species